AAAGUCGUAACAAGGUUUCCGUAGGUGAACCUGCGGAAGGAUCAUUAUGAAUUUGAACUUGUGUGGUUGUGGUGGCUGUUCGUUUUUUUUUCGAACGCGCUCUUUCCCGCAAUUCUUUUUCUGUGAACUGUUCUCGAGUCUUUUUAUUUUAAAAGACUCGGGUUACUUUAUUGUUUUCUUGUAUUAUUCCAACUAUUUUUUUUUGAGUAAUUCUUGCAAAAGAAUGAAAAAAAAAACAUAAAAACCAAGACAACUUUCAGCAAUGGAUCUCUUGGCUCUU
rnacentral:misc_RNA from 1 species